ACAGUCCCUGGUCCUGCUUGUCUUGGGGGCGGGGGCCGGGGCCGGGGCCGGGC
rnacentral:miRNA from 1 species